rnacentral:ncRNA from 1 species
GUACAAACUGAGCAGGCGAUGGACCUUAUGCCGUUGGGUCCGUGGGGCCGGGCCUUUUGGGCAGCAGUUGACGAUCAUCUGCGGGACAGU